AAAUUGAAGAGUUUGAUCAUGGCUCAGAUUGAACGCUGGCGGCAGGCCUAACACAUGCAAGUCGAACGGUAGCACAGAGAGCUUGCUCUCGGGUGACGAGUGGCGGACGGGUGAGUAAUGUCUGGGAAACUGCCCGAUGGAGGGGGAUAACUACUGGAAACGGUAGCUAAUACCGCAUAAUGUCGCAAGACCAAAGUGGGGGACCUUCGGGCCUCACACCAUCGGAUGUGCCCAGAUGGGAUUAGCUUGUUGGUGGGGUAACGGCUCACCAAGGCGACGAUCCCUAGCUGGUCUGAGAGGAUGACCAGCCACACUGGAACUGAGACACGGUCCAGACUCCUACGGGAGGCAGCAGUGGGGAAUAUUGCACAAUGGGCGCAAGCCUGAUGCAGCCAUGCCGCGUGUAUGAAGAAGGCCUUCGGGUUGUAAAGUACUUUCAGCGGGGAGGAAGGCGUUGUGGUUAAUAACCGCAGCGAUUGACGUUACCCGCAGAAGAAGCACCGGCUAACUCCGUGCCAGCAGCCGCGGUAAUACGGAGGGUGCAAGCGUUAAUCGGAAUUACUGGGCGUAAAGCGCACGCAGGCGGUUUGUUAAGUCAGAUGUGAAAUCCCCGGGCUCAACCUGGGAACUGCAUUUGAAACUGGCAAGCUUGAGUCUCGUAGAGGGGGGUAGAAUUCCAGGUGUAGCGGUGAAAUGCGUAGAGAUCUGGAGGAAUACCGGUGGCGAAGGCGGCCCCCUGGACGAAGACUGACGCUCAGGUGCGAAAGCGUGGGGAGCAAACAGGAUUAGAUACCCUGGUAGUCCACGCCGUAAACGAUGUCUAUUUGGAGGUUGUGCCCUUGAGGCGUGGCUUCCGGAGCUAACGCGUUAAAUAGACCGCCUGGGGAGUACGGCCGCAAGGUUAAAACUCAAAUGAAUUGACGGGGGCCCGCACAAGCGGUGGAGCAUGUGGUUUAAUUCGAUGCAACGCGAAGAACCUUACCUGGUCUUGACA
rnacentral:rRNA from 1 species